rnacentral:rRNA from 1 species
UACAGAGGUUCCAAGCGUUGUUCGGAUUCACUGGGCGUAAAGGGUGCGUAGGUGGUGGGGUAAGUCGGAUGUGAAAGCUCGGAGCUCAACUCCGAAAUGGCAUUGGAAACUACCCUGCUAGAGGAUUGGAGGGGGGACUGGAGUACUUGGUGUAGCAGUGAAAUGCGUAGAUAUCAAGUGGAACACCAGUGGCGAAGGCGAGUCCCUGGACAAUACCUGACACUGAGGCACGAAAGCUAGGGGAGCAAACGGG